GGCCCCUGGCGGCGUGCUAAUACAUGCAAGUCGAACGAGUUCUCGUUGAUGAUCGGUGCUUGCACCGAGAUUCAACACUGGAACGAGUGGCGGACGGGUGAGUAACACGUGGGUAACCUGCCCUUAAGUGGGGGAUAACAUUUGGAAACAGAUGCUAAUACCGCAUAGAUCCAAGAACCGCAUGGUUCUUGGCUGAAAGAUGGCGUAAGCUAUCGCUUUUGGAUGGACCCGCGGCGUAUUAGCUAGUUGGUGAGGUAAUGGCUCACCAAGGCGAUGAUACGUAGCCGAACUGAGAGGUUGAUCGGCCACAUUGGGACUGAGACACGGCCCAAACUCCUACGGGAGGCAGCAGUAGGGAAUCUUCCACAAUGGACGCAAGUCUGAUGGAGCAACGCCGCGUGAGUGAAGAAGGCUUUCGGGUCGUAAAACUCUGUUGUUGGAGAAGAAUGGUCGGCAGAGUAACUGUUGUCGGCGUGACGGUAUCCAACCAGAAAGCCACGGCUAACUACGUGCCAGCAGCCGCGGUAAUACGUAGGUGGCAAGCGUUAUCCGGAUUUAUUGGGCGUAAAGCGAGCGCAGGCGGUUUUUUAAGUCUGAUGUGAAAGCCCUCGGCUUAACCGAGGAAGCGCAUCGGAAACUGGGAAACUUGAGUGCAGAAGAGGACAGUGGAACUCCAUGUGUAGCGGUGAAAUGCGUAGAUAUAUGGAAGAACACCAGUGGCGAAGGCGGCUGUCUGGUCUGUAACUGACGCUGAGGCUCGAAAGCAUGGGUAGCGAACAGGAUUAGAUACCCUGGUAGUCCAUGCCGUAAACGAUGAAUGCUAGGUGUUGGAGGGUUUCCGCCCUUCAGUGCCGCAGCUAACGCAUUAAGCAUUCCGCCUGGGGAGUACGACCGCAAGGUUGAAACUCAAAGGAAUUGACGGGGGCCCGCACAAGCGGUGGAGCAUGUGGUUUAAUUCGAAGCAACGCGAAGAACCUUACCAGGUCUUGACAUCUUUUGAUCACCUGAGAGAUCAGGUUUCCCCUUCGGGGGCAAAAUGACAGGUGGUGCAUGGUUGUCGUCAGCUCGUGUCGUGAGAUGUUGGGUUAAGUCCCGCAACGAGCGCAACCCUUAUGACUAGUUGCCAGCAUUUAGUUGGGCACUCUAGUAAGACUGCCGGUGACAAACCGGAGGAAGGUGGGGAUGACGUCAAAUCAUCAUGCCCCUUAUGACCUGGGCUACACACGUGCUACAAUGGAUGGUACAACGAGUUGCGAGACCGCGAGGUCAAGCUAAUCUCUUAAAGCCAUUCUCAGUUCGGACUGUAGGCUGCAACUCGCCUACACGAAGUCGGAAUCGCUAGUAAUCGCGGAUCAGCACGCCGCGGUGAAUACGUUCCCGGGCCUUGUACACACCGCCCGUCACACCAUGAGAGUUUGUAACACCCGAAGCCGGUGGCGUAACCCUUUUAGGGAGCGAGCCGUCUAAGGUGGGACAAAUGAUUAGGGUGAAGUCGUAACAACGGAGGCCCUGGG
rnacentral:rRNA from 1 species